AUCGCUUCUCAGCCUUUUGGCUAAGAUCAAGUGUAGUAUCUGUUCUUAUCAGUUUAAUAAAAUCUUGACUAUUUAAAACAGAGAGAUUUUGGGCUGGAGUGAUAGCACAGCGGGUAGGGCAUUUGCCUUGCACGCAGCCAACC
rnacentral:snRNA from 1 species